AUCGAAAAUCAUCCAUUCAUUCAUUUGAAUGGAGUUUGAUAUUUUAGGUCGAUUUUAUCAACUCGCUUCGAAGUGAAAUUGUGUCCUAAAAAGCCCUGUCCUGAGUUGCCCUGUUCUGAGUUGGCAUGGCGGAUGAGGGUGAGAAGACUGUAAAACGAGUGUGCGUGACUGGAGCAGCAGGAUACAUUGGAUUAUGGCUUGUGAAGGAUCUUCUGCAAAGGGAUUACACAGUGAACGCCACACUCAGAGAUCCAGGUACUUAAUAACCUUACCCUAAACCCUUUGCCGUUUUUAUAUCUGCCAGAUCCUAAAUCCUUACCAGUAAGUAAUGCGUUUUAAAGAUUUUGUUUUAAAAAAAUUUAUGGAUACAUCGGAUAAUGGCUGGUGAAGAAUCUUCUGCAAAGGGGUUACACAGUGAAUGCAACUCUCAAAGAUCCACGUGCUUUUUAUCCUCGCCAUAUGGUAAUGCUUAAAACUACAGGAGAGAGGAAUUAUUUUGCCGUUGUUAGAUCUCUCAAACCCUAAAGCCUCACCGGUAAGUGAUGUGUUUUGAAGAUUCUUCUCUUUUUUUAUUGUCAAAUUUAUGAUUUUCAAAUGCUUAAAACUGCAGGGGACAAGAGAAAAUCUGGGUCUUUGUUAGAUCUGGCAAGAGCAGAGGAUAGGCUUAAGCUCUUCCAACCUGAUCUACUGAAGGAGGGCAGCUUUGAUUCUACAGUGGAGGAGUAAAUCUCAAGCAAAUAUUUUGUGCUUGGUAGAGGAUUGCCAAGACAUUAGCAGAACAUGAGGCCCUUAAUUAUGGUGCUCAAAACAAUCUUGUGGUGAUAACAGUGCAACUGAUUUUUGUCAUUGGGCUUUGGAUUACAACUACACAUGAUAAAAUAUCAGUUCAAGUAAUAUCAGCUCUACUUGGAGUAAAUAGCAUAUUCUAUGAAGUCCUAAAGUAUAUAUCCAAUUUGUAUUGGACUCUAUACCAAUAGUUCAUAUAGAGGAUGUAUCCAAUGCCCACAUAUUUCUGAUGGAGCAUACAAGGUUGUCAUAUUUGUUGUGUUGAUUUUGCAACUAUCAAGUCUCUCAAAGAUUUUCCUGCUAUACAAUUAAAGACUGAACCUAAGUUGCAAGAGGAGAACUCCAUUAAUAGAUAAGUGUCAUUUUCUUCCAAAAAAUUAUUGGAUAUGGGCUUCUCUUACAAGUAUAUUUUGGAAAAAACAUUCAAACAGGGCAUAGAAUGUGCCAAAAGGAUUAAGAUUUUGAAUUAAUAGUUCAAGACAUC